rnacentral:lncRNA from 1 species
GCUGCUUGUAUGUCUUCUUUAGAAAAAAUGUCUUUUCAUGUCCUUUGCCCACUUUUUAAUGUUUUUUUUCUCUUGUUGAGCUUUUGAUUUCCUUAUAGAGUCUGGAUAUCAGUCCUUUGUUGGACACAUAGUUUGCAAAUAUUUUCUCUCAUUCUGUAGGUUUGUUUACUCUGUUGACUAUUUCUUUUUCUGUGCAGAAGGUUUUCAAUUUACUUAAGUCCCAUUUGUCUAUUUUUUAUUUCAUUGCAUUUGCUUUUGAGGUCAUAGUCAUAAGUUCUUUGCGUAGGCCAUUAUCUAGAAGAAUUUUUCCUAGGUUUUCUUCUAGGAUUUUUACCAUUUCAGAUCAUACAUUUAAGUCUUUAAUCCAUCUUUAAUUAAAAAUUUUAUAUAUGGUCAGAGACAGAGGUCCAGCUUCAUUUUUCUGCAUAUGGUGCUCCAAUUUUCCCAGCACCAUUUAUUGAAUAGAGUGUUCAUUCCCCAGUGUAUAUUUUUGUUGAUUUUGUCAAAGAUCAGUUGGUUGUAGGUAUGUGGCUUUAUUUCUGGGUUCUCUUUCUGUUCCAUUGAUCUGUGUGUCUAUUUUUGUACCAUUACCAUGCUGUUUUGGUUGCUGUAGCCCUGUAGAAUAAUUUGAAGUCAAGUAAUGUGAUGCUUCUGGCUUUGUUCCUUGUUAAUUUUUUUCUUUUUUGAGACAGGGUCUUGCUCUGCUGUCCAGGCUGGAGUGCUGUGGCAUGAUUUUGGCUCACUUCAGCUUCAACUGCACAGGCUCAAGUGAUCCUCCCACCUCAGACUCCCAAGUAGCUUGGACUACAGAGGGCCUAAUCAUGAGAUGAAGCGGAGAAAUAAUGAAGUGCUUAUGAACAUUAUGGAGACCAGAAAUUGCAGGAAAUCCAGAACAUCCAGAGGCUUGACAUUCACGGGGUGGCCCAGAAUUUAUGCUCUAAAUGCAGAGCAUCUCCAGAGACAUCCACAGCCCAGGAUAUAUUUGUUCUCCUGAGCAAAUAAUGUACACAGCUCACAAACUUCCUGCUUAUCACCAAAUGCUUCAAUUCAUCAUCAAACACGAUGGCUAACAGAAGAAUGCAAGUUGGUUUCCUGCUACCUUAGCGUUAUCAAUCAACCCAAGAACCAUCCAAUAAAAUCUCCAGCAAGCCUUUGUUUCCUUGCAAUCAGCUCCUCUUCUGCUGGUUCUGCCCACUGCUCCCUGGCAACAUAUUCUCAUAGUUUCUUUAAUAAAUCUGUCUUUCUUUACCUACAACUGUCUUGGUAAAUUCUUAUUCCCCUCUGCCAUCCCCAAAUCCUAUACCUCACCACCAUCCCUGAUAGUUGC